UGCGUGGCAGCCCUUGAAGCACUGGUUGCUAUCUUCUCUUUUGUCCGGCGUGUCAUUUCACCCCUAAACCUCCUCCAGAACUAUUGCCACAAAAUCUGUGUGACAGUCAAUCAAAUUUAUCCUGUGAACAAUGUCUCUCGGGGAUUUUAUUUUCUGUACACAUUUAUUUUCUUGUUGCUGUUUCUAAACUGAAAAUAAUUGCAUACACUGGCAUUGUUCAUCAGGAUGCUUUUUGUGUUCUUGUGUGUUUGAAGGCUGGCCUCGCACUUCUUUUGAUGACUUCUUGCCUGAAUACUUUUACAAGUUUUAGGUCAUAACCUAUCAAAGACGGAAAAUGUACAAUAAAACCUAAUGUCCCAGCUGAUUUUAGCUACGGUAUACAAACACAACAUCUGAGAGUUAGGAGCACUUGCUGAAGCUGUAGAGUGGGUGGCAGAAUCCCCCAGAUAUGGAGGGGACAACGUCAGUGAGCAGAGGCAUUCCAUCAUUAAAGGCAGACCUUGGAACCAAUUCAAAGUCUCAUUCCAUCAGGCAUCAGACUGCAAAAUCCAGAGUAGAUUGUGUACACUGAAUUGUGCUUCCUGCUUCUUCAGCAAACUAAUGAUGAACAUAAGGAAAUGCCUUACCUAAUUAAUCAACUUUAACCUAUCCAUCCCGUGCUAAGCACAAGGAAACAUCAGGAUGAUAUUAUUCCUCUUAUCUAGUUCUGUCUUAUUACCUUACUCCAUCAUGGCAAUGCCAAGGCAGAUUUUCAAAUGUGCAUGAAAGAACUGUGAAAAAUGAAAGUCUCCUCAGCUGUGUCAUAUGUUUUCAUCAUAUAAUAAAAGACAUUUUGG